ACAAAGACCAUGACGGGAAGAGUAGGAUAGCAGGAAAUGAUUAGCGAGCCGAUGAGGGUGAAAGUUCGGCCAUGGCAGGUUAUCUGAAGAACAUCCCCGAGUCGCCAACCGAAAUCACAGCCUGUGAGAGUAGACUUGGACGUCAACUGCACGUUACAGCAGAAGGGGUAUCGAUGUGAUUGUCCGUACCCGUCAAUGAGAGAGCCUAUGCUAAUUAAGGUGGCACCGCGAAAACAACCUUCGUCCUUAAA
rnacentral:ncRNA from 1 species